UCUGCCUUAUGUAGAUGCGAUACAUUGGUAAAUCAAUGCAAUGAUAUCACCAUACGACGAUUUAUCGCUUAUAAGCCGCCGAAAUGCGAAAUCAAUGUUGUAGUAGCAGUGUAGGUUUCAGAUGUCGUUAGUUAUGGCAUAUUGUAGAUAUUUUCGUUGUAUAUAGUCCAUUGUAGAUAGUUGGAUAUAGCUAGAAUUUAUACAGUCCGUACUAUGACAGAAUAGGCGAAAUGAAAUUAAUUGAAGUAAACGAAGUUGAGCAUACCAAGAACGCAAUAAACUAUUAGGAAUAUAAGUACUAAAGUACCUCAGUUCGCACGUCAUACCACAGUUAAGCUCGUUGCUUGUUUACGCUUCAAGUAUGUCAUGUUUUCGUCUAUUUGCGUUUGCUGAAACG